GAACGAACGCUGGCGGCAUGCCUAACACAUGCAAGUCGAACGAGACCUUCGGGUCUAGUGGCGCACGGGUGCGUAACGCGUGGGAACCUGCCCUUAGGUUCGGAAUAACUCCCCGAAAGGGGUGCCAAUACCGGAUAAUGUCUUCGGACCAAAGAUUUAUCGCCUUUGGAUGGGCCCGCGUUGGAUUAGCUAGUUGGUAGGGUAAAAGCCUACCAAGGCGACGAUCCAUAGCUGGUCUGAGAGGAUGAUCAGCCACACUGGGACUGAGACACGGCCCAGACUCCUACGGGAGGCAGCAGUGGGGAAUAUUGGACAAUGGGCGAAAGCCUGAUCCAGCAAUGCCGCGUGAGUGAUGAAGGCCUUAGGGUUGUAAAGCUCUUUUACCCGGGAUGAUAAUGACAGUACCGGGAGAAUAAGCUCCGGCUAACUCCGUG
rnacentral:rRNA from 1 species